GUUGCCAGUGGAGUUUCCUUUAAAAACAAAAACAAAAAACAUCGCGUUCAAAUAAACCCAGAUUCUACACAAAAUCCCAGAUCACAAAAAGCACAAUGUCAGUUUUAAGCUAAAUUAUUUUUACCUAGUGUCAGAGUUGCCCAGUGGACUUCCUAGGAAGAUUUCGCUCUCAAAUAAACAUUCUUCACAAAACACACAGAUUACAAAAAAAAAAAAAAAGUUUUUAAGCUAAAUCAUUUUACCCAUGGAAUGCAUAUAUUUUAGUAUGGUGUAUCAAAAACUUUAGAUUUCAUUGGGUUUUAAAGUUAGAAACCAGACAGGAACUCCAAAAACCCAAUUCUGUUUUUUUUAAAAAAAAAAACCCAGCACCGGCAACUGCAAAUAUAUAGGAGGCUUGGGAGAUUGAGGGUCUUUUACUAAACUGGCUGAAUUGUGAAAGAAAGAGUACGUAAAAAAUGGGAGUGGAGAAUCUCGGGCAAUUAAAAUAAUCAACAGCUGUUCGUAGUAGGCGCUUAUACGGUAUGUAAGAGCCUCCCAGUUCGACGAAAGAGUAUCUCAUGCUGAGAAGAGAGAAAGCUGCUGAGUUUAUAUCCUAGUAUUUUAAUACCCCUUCCUUGAAGUGUUUUCCGGAAUAGAAAGGUGGACUGAACAGGCUAUUUCUUUAAGGGAGCUUUUCUUUGUAUUUAAUGCAAUUCCAUCUCUAAAAGGAAAAAUAACUUUCCAGCGUAAGUUGUUCACCGGCUUCAUGGAAAGCACCUUCAGUUCUGAAGAGCCUUGUGACGUUUAAAUUGUGUGAAGAGUUCCUGCACCUUGCUUUGAAAGUACAGGGCCUAGGAGAACUUGAUAAGGCAGUGAAUUCACCUUGGUAAUAUCAGAUGCUGGAUGAUCUUUUAUCUCUUCCACAUGACUACAAGUAUUCCCUCAGUUUUAUGAAAGUACGAUACUGUCUAUAUUAUGGUAACAAAUUGAGGCUACGAUUAAAGAUCACAGCUUCACAAUGGCUCUUUGCAGAGAUGCAUGAAAAGAUAUCUUGGCCCUCUGUACUCUGGUAGGAAACAGAUGGAAAGAAAAGGAAAAAGACAAUGGUAACCUUUUCUGAAAAACCUUAUCAAGAAAACUAGAAGGACUUCUCCAGGUAAUCUCCAACAAUUGGACAUGAUUGAAUGGAAGGGGGAAAAAAGGCUCCCUUGUGCAUUUGGGAUUGCUGCAGUGGUGCAUGACCCACUUGGGUUUCAGCUCAUUAUUCAGAUGGAUAAAUGGCCUGGAAUUCUGUCUAAUAGAAAAAAGAACACCUGCUUUUUUCAGUAAAGGAAAACACCAGGCAGAAAAGAGUGAGCCACAAAUGAAUGAGCAUGGUGCCUAUUUAGCAAGACUCUGCCUAGAAUAAAGUCUAGUGUUUUGAAUCCAGGUUUAAAGUGUAAAGUUUGAAUGAGUGAUUCAGAAAAGACCAUUAUUUUGUAGUAUCAAGAGAGGCUUUUGAACAUGGAAAUUCAUUUUUAUCACAUUCUUUUAUUAAUCAAAGUUUACAUGAGCUUGAUUGAUAAUGUAAUCAUUAAUAGUUUAUUAUUCAUUUUGUUCAUUAUUCAUUUCAUUUAUUCUUUCCUUUUCAUUUUAAUUUAAUAAUUUAAAUUAAUAUGUAAGAAACAGAAGCUAAUAUUUUUAAGAUUUAUAUUGUUUGUUAAAUGAAAUUACUUGUUCUAAUUAUCUCUUUAAUUGAAUUGAUUGAAUGAGUGAAGUGGUUAAAUUUUCACAUUGGCACAUUCUGUGCUGACAUAACCAUAAAAUGAAUAAAACAAGCACUAAAUAUUGCAGUUAUUUUUUCUGGCUUCUUUUAAACAUCAGCAGGAUACAUAUAACAUUUUGGUCACAUUCUGUCUGUAAAGAUAUGAAAAAAAUCUAGAAAUCCAAAAGAGGGCAAAUUCUUUUUUAUAAAAACAUAUUUCGGGGAGACUCAUGGUAUCUUAAGACAAUUUUAUUAUUCUAAUUUUUUUUUCUUAAAACUGAACUAGUUUGAGAUUUGUUUCAAGAGAAAAACCAUAGAAAAAGUUUCUUACAGCAAAAACAGUUUGACAGGUCGACCAUUAUCUAGGGAGACAAUGGUCUAUCCUUUAUUGGAUGAAUUCAGAUAGUGGAUACUUUACACCAGCUUUCUGCACUGUACAGGGAAUUGAACUUAAUGCUGGAACAGCCUCUUUCGUCUCGUAUGAUUCUACAAUGGGGAACUCCCUGAAUCUUCUCUGCUUUGCCAACAAUAAUGUGGAAAAAAAUCUAAAUCUAAAAUACCAUUUUAUUUUAUUUCUCAAAUGCAAGAGAUUAUUAAAUAAAUCAAUCUAUGAAUAGACUGGAAUAUUCUGGUACAAAACAAGGGUCUUGUGAACAAUAAUACUAUACUGAGAAAACCUUUCUUAGAAUGACUGCAGGCAUUCAGUCAUAGACACAGAAGUAUGAAGUUUAUUUUUUGUAUCUGUGGUUCUGAUUUAUAAGAUUUAAGACAGUGGGGUUUUUUUGUGAAAUGAAUGAGAAAUAUUUUAGAUUUUAGAUACCUUAUUUUUUUUCGAUAUAAAUUUAAAACUGCUCUAGGAAUGUUAAACUUUCUGUAAUGUUUAAAAAUAUUCUGAAAAUAAAUGGGCUCUAUUAAAAAUAAAUUAUUGUUUUCAG